GAUGAAGAACGUAGCGAAAUGCGAUAAGUAGUGUGAAUUGCAGAAUUCAGUGAAUCAUCGAAUCUUUGAACGCACAUUGCGCCCCUUGGUAUCCCGAGGGGCAUGCCUGUUCGAGCGUCAUUUCACCACUCAAGCCUGACUUGGUGUUGGGCGACGUCCUCUUUGGGGACGCGCCUCGAAACGCUCGGCGGCGUGGCACCGGCUUUAAGCGUAGCAGAAUCUUUCGCUUUGGAAGUCGGGGCCCCGUCUGCCGGAAGACCUGCUCGCAAGGUUGACCUCGGAUCAGGCAGGGAUACCCGCUGAACUUAAGCAUAUCAAUAAGCGGAGGA
rnacentral:misc_RNA from 1 species